GGCCCCGUCGGCUAUGGGUUAGGCCGCCAGGUUUUCACCCUGGCAGAGCGGGUUCGAGUCCCGUCGGGGCUGC
rnacentral:tRNA from 1 species